GGAUUAGAUACCCUGGUAGUCCACGCUGUAAACGAUGUUCACUCGCUGUCGGCGAUACACAGUCGGCGGCUGAGCGAAAGCAUUAAGUGAACCACCUGGGGAGUACGAUCGCAAGGUUGAAACUCAAAGGAAUUGACGGGGGCCCGCACAAGCGGAGGAACAUGUGGUUUAAUUCGAUGAUACGCGAGGAACCUUACCUGGGCUUAAAUGUAGAUUGCAUAGAGUAGAAAUAUUCUUUCCCUUCGGGGCUAUUUACAAGGUGCUGCAUGGUUGUCGUCAGCUCGUGCCG
rnacentral:rRNA from 1 species